rnacentral:rRNA from 1 species
AUACGGAGGGUGCAAGCGUUACUCGGAAUCACUGGGCGUAAAGGACGCGUAGGCGGGUUAUUAAGUCGGGUGUGAAAUCCAAUGGCUCAACCAUUGAACUGCAUUCGAAACUGAUAACCUAGAGUAUGGAAGGGGCAGGUGGAAUUAGUGGUGUAGGGGUAAAAUCCGUAGAUAUCACUAGGAAUACCGAAAGCGAAGGCGACCUGCUGGGACAUUACUGACGCUGAGGCGUGAAAGCGUGGGGAGCAAACAGGAUUAGAAACCCCAGUAGUCC